UAGGGAAUCUUCGGCAAUGGGGGGAACCCUGACCGAGCAACGCCGCGUGAGUGAAGAAGGUUUUCGGAUCGUAAAGCUCUGUUGUUAAGGAAGAACGAGUGUGAGAAUGGAAAGUUCAUGCUGUGACGGUACUUAACCAGAAAGGGACGGCUAACUACGUGCCAGCAGCCGCGGUAAUACGUAGGUCCCGAGCGUUGUCCGGAUUUAUUGGGCGUAAAGCGAGCGCAGGCGGUUAGAAAAGUCUGAAGUGAAAGGCAGUGGCUCAACCAUUGUAGGCUUUAGAAACUGUUUAACUUGAGUGCAGAAGGGGUGAGUGGAAUUCCAUGUGUAGCGGUGAAAUGCGUAGAUAUAUGGAGGAACACCGGUGGCGAAAGCGGCUCUCUGGUCUGUAACUGACGCUGAGGCUCGAAAGCGUGGGGAGCGAACAGG
rnacentral:rRNA from 1 species